rnacentral:piRNA from 1 species
UAUCAGUAUGUGUUUGUGAGUGUGUACAC